rnacentral:rRNA from 1 species
AGAGUUUGAUCCUGGCUCAGGACGAACGCUGGCGGCGUGCUUAACACAUGCAAGUCGAACGGUGACGAGGAGCUUGCUCCUCUGAUCAGUGGCGAACGGGUGAGUAACACGUGAGCAACCUGCCCCAGACUCUGGGAUAACAGUUGGAAACAGCUGCUAAUACCGGAUACGAGACGGAGAGGCAUCUCUACCGUCUGGAAAGUUUUUCGGUCUGGGAUGGACUCGCGGCCUAUCAGCUAGUUGGUGAGGUAAUGGCUCACCAAGGCGACGACGGGUAGCCGGCCUGAGAGGGCGACCGGCCACACUGGGACUGAGACACGGCCCAGACUCCUACGGGAGGCAGCAGUGGGGAAUAUUGCACAAUGGGCGAAAGCCUGAUGCAGCGACGCCGCGUGAGGGAUGACGGCCUUCGGGUUGUAAACCUCUUUCAGCAGGGAAGAAGCGAAAGUGACGGUACCUGCAGAAGAAGCACCGGCUAACUACGUGCCAGCAGCCGCGGUAAUACGUAGGGUGCGAGCGUUGUCCGAAUUAUUGGGCGUAAAGAGCUUGUAGGCGGUUUGUCGCGUCUGCAGUGAAAAUCCGAGGCUCAACCUCGGACUUGCUGUGGGUACGGGCAGACUAGAGUAUGGUAGGGGAGACCGGAAUUCCUGGUGUAGCGGUGGAAUGCGCAGAUAUCAGGAGGAACACCGAUGGCGAAGGCAGGUCUCUGGGCCAUAACUGACGCUGAGAAGCGAAAGCAUGGGGAGCGAACAGGAUUAGAUACCCUGGUAGUCCAUGCCGUAAACGUUGGGCGCUAGGUGUGGGGCUCAUUCCACGAGCUCCGUGCCGCAGCUAACGCAUUAAGCGCCCCGCCUGGGGAGUACGGCCGCAAGGCUAAAACUCAAAGGAAUUGACGGGGGCCCGCACAAGCGGCGGAGCAUGCGGAUUAAUUCGAUGCAACGCGAAGAACCUUACCAAGGCUUGACAUAUACCGGAAACAUCCAGAGAUGGGUGCCCCGCAAGGUCGGUAUACAGGUGGUGCAUGGUUGUCGUCAGCUCGCGUCGUGAGAUGUUGGGUUAAGUCCCGCAACGAGCGCAACCCUCGUUCUAUGUUGCCAGCGCGUAAUGGCGGGGACUCAUAGGAGACUGCCGGGGUCAACUCGGAGGAAGGUGGGGAUGACGUCAAAUCAUCAUGCCCCUUAUGUCUUGGGCUUCACGCAUGCUACAAUGGCCGGUACAAAGGGCUGCGAUACCGCGAGGUGGAGCGAAUCCCAAAAAAACCGGUCUCAGUUCGGAUUGGGGUCUGCAACUCGACCCCAUGAAGUCGGAGUCGCUAGUAAUCGCAGAUCAGCAACGCUGCGGUGAAUACGUUCCCGGGCCUUGUACACACCGCCCGUCAAGUCACGAAAGUCGGUAACACCCGAAGCCGGUGGCCCAACCCUUGUGGAGGGAGCCGUCGAAGGUGGGACUGGCGAUUGGGACUAAGUCGUAACAAGGUA